GAAUCUAACAUAUAAUAGUGGUUAUCACGUCAGUCUAACACACUGAAGGUCGCCAGUUCGAGUCUGGCGCGAAUCA